rnacentral:tRNA from 1 species
GGUAGUUAAGCAGUACAGCACCUGCCUGGCAAGCUUGAGGCCCUGAGUUCAAUUCUCAGUACCA